CCUACGGGGGGCAGCAGUGGGGAAUAUUGGACAAUGGGGGGAACCCUGAUCCAGCCAUGCCGCGUGUGUGAAGAAGGCCCUCGGGUUGUAAAGCACUUUCAGUGAGGAAGAACGCCUGGUGGUUAAUACCCAUCAGGAAAGACAUCACUCACAGAAGAAGCACCGGCUAACUCCGUGCCAGCAGCCGCGGUAAUACGGAGGGUGCGAGCGUUAAUCGGAAUUACUGGGCGUAAAGCGCGCGUAGGUGGCUUGAUAAGCCGGUUGUGAAAGCCCCGGGCUCAACCUGGGAACGGCAUCCGGAACUGUCAAGCUAGAGUGCAGGAGAGGAAGGUAGAAUUCCCGGUGUAGCGGUGAAAUGCGUAGAGAUUGGGAGGAAUACCAGUGGCGAAGGCGGCCUUCUGGACUGACACUGACACUGAGGUGCGAAAGCGUGGGUAGCAAACAGGAUUAGAUACCCCGGUAGUC
rnacentral:rRNA from 1 species